rnacentral:rRNA from 1 species
UUAAGUUAGAAAGGGCGCACGGUGGAUGCCUUGACACUAGGAGUCGAUGAAGGACGGGACUAACGCCGAUAUGCUUCGGGGAGCUGUAAGUAAGCUUUGAUCCGAAGAUUUCCGAAUGGGGAAACCCACCAUACGUAAUGGUAUGGUAUCCUUAUCUGAAUACAUAGGGUAAGGAAGACAGACCCAGGGAACUGAAACAUCUAAGUACCUGGAGGAAGAGAAAGCAAAUGCGAUUUCCUGAGUAGCGGCGAGCGAAACGGAACAUAGCCCAAACCAAGAGGCUUGCCUCUUGGGGUUGUAGGACAUUCUAUACGGAGUUACAAAGGAACGAGGUAGACGAAGCGACCUGGAAAGGUCCGUCGUAGAGGGUAACAACCCCGUAGUCGAAACUUCGUUCUCUCUUGAAUGUAUCCUGAGUACGGCGGAACACGUGAAAUUCCGUCGGAAUCUGGGAGGACCAUCUCCCAAGGCUAAAUACUCCCUAGUGAUCGAUAGUGAACCAGUACCGUGAGGGAAAGGUGAAAAGCACCCCGGAAGGGGAGUGAAAGAGAUCCUGAAACCGUGUGCCUACAAAUAGUCAGAGCCCGUUAAUGGGUGAUGGCGUGCCUUUUGUAGAAUGAACCGGCGAGUUACGAUCCCGUGCGAGGUUAAGUUGAAGAGGCGGAGCCGCAGCGAAAGCGAGUCUGAAUAGGGCGUUUAGUACGUGGUCGUAGACCCGAAACCAGGUGAUCUACCCAUGUCCAGGGUGAAGUUCAGGUAACACUGAAUGGAGGCCCGAACCCACGCACGUUGAAAAGUGCGGGGAUGAGGUGUGGGUAGCGGAGAAAUUCCAAUCGAACCUGGAGAUAGCUGGUUCUCCCCGAAAUAGCUUUAGGGCUAGCCUUAAGUGUAAGAGUCUUGGAGGUAGAGCACUGAUUGGACUAGGGGUCCUCAUCGGAUUACCGAAUUCAGUCAAACUCCGAAUGCCAAUGACUUAUCCUUAGGAGUCAGACUGCGAGUGAUAAGAUCCGUAGUCAAAAGGGAAACAGCCCAGACCGCCAGCUAAGGUCCCAAAGUGUGUAUUAAGUGGAAAAGGAUGUGGAGUUGCUUAGACAACUAGGAUGUUGGCUUAGAAGCAGCCACCAUUUAAAGAGUGCGUAAUAGCUCACUAGUCGAGUGACUCUGCGCCGAAAAUGUACCGGGGCUAAAUACACCACCGAAGCUGCGGAUUGAUACCAAUGGUAUCAGUGGUAGGGGAGCGUUCUAAGGACAGUGAAGUCAGACCGGAAGGACUGGUGGAGUGCUUAGAAGUGAGAAUGCCGGUAUGAGUAGCGAAAGACGGGUGAGAAUCCCGUCCACCGAAUGCCUAAGGUUUCCUGAGGAAGGCUCGUCCGCUCAGGGUUAGUCAGGACCUAAGCCGAGGCCGACAGGCGUAGGCGAUGGACAACAGGUUGAUAUUCCUGUACCACCUCUUUAUCGUUUGAGCAAUGGAGGGACGCAGAAGGAUAGAAGAAGCGUGCGAUUGGUUGUGCACGUCCAAGCAGUUAGGCUGAUAAGUAGGCAAAUCCGCUUAUCGUAAAGGCUGAGCUGUGAUGGGGAAGCUCCUUAUAGAGCGAAGUCUUUGAUUCCCCGCUGCCAAGAAAAGCUUCUAGCGAGAUAAAAGGUGCCUGUACCGCAAACCGACACAGGUAGGCGAGGAGAGAAUCCUAAGGUGUGCGAGAGAACUCUGGUUAAGGAACUCGGCAAAAUGACCCCGUAACUUCGGGAGAAGGGGUGCUUUCUUAACGGAAAGCCGCAGUGAAUAGGCCCAAGCGACUGUUUAGCAAAAACACAGCUCUCUGCGAAGCCGUAAGGCGAAGUAUAGGGGGUGACACCUGCCCGGUGCUGGAAGGUUAAGGAGAGGGGUUAGCGUAAGCGAAGCUCUGAACUGAAGCCCCAGUAAACGGCGGCCGUAACUAUAACGGUCCUAAGGUAGCGAAAUUCCUUGUCGGGUAAGUUCCGACCCGCACGAAAGGUGUAACGAUUUGGGCACUGUCUCAACCAGAGACUCGGUGAAAUUAUAGUACCUGUGAAGAUGCAGGUUACCCGCGACAGGACGGAAAGACCCCGUGGAGCUUUACUGUAGCCUGAUAUUGAAUUUUGGUACAGUUUGUACAGGAUAGGCGGGAGCCAUUGAAACCGGAGCGCUAGCUUCGGUGGAGGCGCUGGUGGGAUACCGCCCUGACUGUAUUGAAAUUCUAACCUACGGGUCUUAUCGACCCGGGAGACAGUGUCAGGUGGGCAGUUUGACUGGGGCGGUCGCCUCCUAAAGUGUAACGGAGGCGCCCAAAGGUUCCCUCAGAAUGGUUGGAAAUCAUUCGUAGAGUGCAAAGGCAUAAGGGAGCUUGACUGCGAGACCUACAAGUCGAGCAGGGACGAAAGUCGGGCUUAGUGAUCCGGUGGUUCCGCAUGGAAGGGCCAUCGCUCAACGGAUAAAAGCUACCCCGGGGAUAACAGGCUUAUCUCCCCCAAGAGUCCACAUCGACGGGGAGGUUUGGCACCUCGAUGUCGGCUCAUCGCAUCCUGGGGCUGUAGUCGGUCCCAAGGGUUGGGCUGUUCGCCCAUUAAAGCGGUACGCGAGCUGGGUUCAGAACGUCGUGAGACAGUUCGGUCCCUAUCCGUCGUGGGCGUAGGAAAUUUGAGAGGAGCUGUCCUUAGUACGAGAGGACCGGGAUGGACGCACCGCUGGUGUACCAGUUGUUCUGCCAAGGGCAUAGCUGGGUAGCUAUGUGCGGAAGGGAUAAGUGCUGAAAGCAUCUAAGCAUGAAGCCCCCCUCAAGAUGAGAUUUCCCAUAGCGUAAGCUAGUAAGAUCCCUGAAAGAUGAUCAGGUUGAUAGGUUCGAGGUGGAAGCAUGGUGACAUGUGGAGCUGACGAAUACUAAUAGAUCGAGGACUUAACCAU